UAAUUAGGGCGUAAGAAAUUUAAUCUUUCCAGCAUGCAGGUCAUAUAAUUAAUGUUAAUUUAACGCUCAAAUUCUCAGUCAUUAAUUUUUAUUCUCUUAAAUGCAGUUUGGCAGGGGCCCCUGAUCCAUGGCAAUGGAUUUUACUGGAUGUGAAAGCACACUUGGUCUUAGGAGUGACUCACCGUAGACCUUCCCAUCCCAAUAACAAGAUCACAUCAUGUAUGCAUUAUUAAGCCACAUAAUUGAACGGUCCAUAGUUUGCAUAUCAGACUAUUAAAAUAAUGUGUUUUGCUUUUCUCUGAACACGUAUUGUUCAAGCCUCUGCGAAUAUGUGGCGAUUCUGAUAAUUAUCACCAAAUUACUGCAAAUGUUCUCUUCAUUAACAUGAUUUCUUUCAAGCAUUUUUAAAAAUGUGAAUGUUAUUAUGAAUUAAGAAACUUCUUACAAAGUUGUGUGAAGUGUGUGUGUGUGCGUGUGCGUGUGUGUGUGUGUGUGUGUGUGUGUUUUAAGGGACUUGUCACUGGGAAGGAAAGGAUAUAUUUUAAAUGGAGGAGGGAGAAAAAUGCUUUUGACUAAGUCUUUCAAGUGGCUUCCUUUGGUCAAAUAAAAGUUUUCUCUCUAGUUUUUUGGGCAGCGUCUAGGCAAGAGACAAACAGAGAAAAUAGAAAAAAAGAGGGAGAAAAGAGGGAGGGAGGAGAGAGAAUUUGAAAGUCACAGGAGAGUAAGAGAAUUAAUUUUUUUAAGUCCCUACUAUCUUGUCCCCAUCUGGUGUGGAUAACUUGUCCCCACAAAUAACCUCCUAACUUUUUACCUGACCUAGAGUAAACUAAUAUCCUCCCUUUUUAAAAUACCAACUCAAAUUUUUCUAAAGAUAACAGCUCACAAUUAACUAAAUAUUGCUGUCGUCCCCUAGCUAUUCUGAGCUAUACUGUUGGGAGAAAUUAUAAGCCGUAAAGAGCCUUUAUUGUAACCUCUCCACCACACACAGUUUCUAAAGUUGAAUAGCAAACAUUAAAACAGACACACACUACUGCAAAAUAAGAGUCUCUUCUAAAUGUGAGAAAUUUUCAUCCACCCCCCAUUUCUAGUGAAAUUUCCCUUUGAGUGAUUUUUAAACUUAUAACAAACAGGUCUUUCUGCCGCUGGUAUUGUCGCUCCUUCCCGGCACAGCGUCGCGCAGCGCGCGGGUCGCUCUCCUCCGACGGCGCUUCCAACACCGAAAAGCUGCCAUCAGCCCCGGUGAAGAGGGAGUUUCACCCACUGAUAAUGUCACAAGAGUUUGAGGUUGUAAGGUUUUUCCUAAAUAAAAGACGUCACCUCGGGUGGGAGUGAGGGGGGGGGAGAGAGAGAGAGAGAGAGAGAGAGAGAGAGAGAAUGAGAGAGAGUGUGUAAUAGAGAGAGAGAGAGAGAGAGAGAGAGAGAGAGAGAAGGAGAGAUGGCAAGCACUGAGUUAAAUACCUGGCAAAACUAAAUAAAUUACCAAAAAGAAAAAAAAAAAUCCACCAAACCGUGAUAAACACAAAACAGCUUCCUGAUGCUCGGAGUUGGCACAUGCUCUGCUGUGUUGAUUUAAUGUGGAUCCUCAUCAGGAAGGAGGAAAAAAUACACAUGUUCUUUGAUGUAGUCAAAAUUUAACGGCAUAAAUUUGCACUGCAAGAAAAUUGAAGUUUACACCAACAAAUUCAUUGAACGUAUUUUUCUUUCUCCCACGGUUAAUUUUGAAAUUGCCGGGUUUUGUUUUGUUUUGUUUUGUUGUUUUAUUCAGCAGGGAGAGUUGAAGCCAGCUCUUGGCUACUCUCCAUUUCUAGCGUUCUUGUGUUGCCCCUUGUUCUUCUUCCUGUUUGUGAACUUUGGUUACCUUCAGGCUCCCCCCAACAUUGGUGUAACAUUUAGUUGCUUCUUUUACCAAAGCAAAAACGAUUGGCUUCAUACAAAAUAAAUAAUUCUCUGCUUUCAGGAAAUGUGCAUGGUCUACCCGCUUUAUCCAAGGCAAGAGUCCAGUUUGGAAUACAAAAAUGAGUCAAGCAUUGGUUUUUUUGUGACCAGCCACAAAGUAAACUUCAUUUUCAGGCAGUGUUUCUGGGGGAGGUUGUGGAGGGGAGAAAAAGAAAAAUCGAUAGUGAGUGACUGAUUGCUUCAUUUUAUCAGGCGGGCCCAUUGUGAAAGAGCUCAGAGGAAAUGUGGAGGUUAUAAAUGUAUUUCCAGAGUCGUCCAACAGAAAGUGGCACUUUGAAGAGAACUAGGGAAAUAUAUAUCUUCAGAAACCCCUGUAUAGUUCUCUGCCUUCAGUUUUAAUAACUUAAUUAUGAGGAAUUAUUUGUGCUGAGAGCAGCAGUUAAACUUUGUCCCUCUAAUAGCUUUUUUUUUUUUUUAACAUAAAGAAAAUAAUCUGGGAACUUAAUGGUGUAUGCAGAGACUUUUUUUUACUGCACAAAUACCCAUAUGCAUACAGAGGAUAUCUCCACUCUAGGCUGGUUUUGUCUUCACUAGCUCAUUUGUUUAUCAAAUCAAAUUUAAGGUCCCACACCUUCUUCUCCUAUAAUUUAUCACAGAAAAUACCAGUUUAACCUAGACAGCUUUCCCCCCUUCUUUCACUAAGGAAGCCAAAUGAACUGGGGGAAAAAAUGCUAUUUUCUAUCCUUCCUUUUCUCCCUUUGUUAAUAGUUUUAAGUGCGCUUUUACCUUAUCUUGAUGGAAAAUGGUUAACUCCCAUAACAAAAGACUCUACUGGGAAGUGUAGGUGAAAAAACUUCUAACUAUUGAAAAUAAAUACCAUUAAACUGUGACCAGUUAAAAUAUUUUAAAAAAAUAAUCAGCACAAAAGGGCGCUAAAAGGGAAAACACUUUUUAUUAAUCUUAAAAGUUUGGGGCUUUUUUUUUUCUGGUUAAGUAUUAGGCAAAUCUUUAUUUAAAAAAUUAAAUUCUCAAUACCAUAAAAUUAUGGUUCAGCAUCAGAUUAGCAUUGCACUCAGUAGUUAAGGUUUUAGGAAAUAUGCUUUAUAUUGUCUUUUCAAACACCUGUGAUUGUUUCAUUUUCAAUGUUUUUGCAAGAUAAAUGAUGACUUAGAAUGGGCAUAUUUAUUUGCCUGUAUUUCAUUUCCCCCAACGAAUGUCACGAGGAGAUGGACACAGAGCUGCUGCUUCGGGCUGUAUCACACUGCUUGUUCCUGAGGUGUGGGGACUGGCCUCUAGUGAAGCAAUCCAGAGCAGGGCAAAUAGCCAAUGGUUAAGGGAGGAAAUGAAUUUUCAGAUUCUUAUUACCAAGUGGGUAAGGUCAGACGCUGGAGUUCAGGGGACUUGUCUAUAGCUCCUCUAACUCUCUUGGGUUUACUAAGAAGAAAGUUACCACUGAACCUUACCACUAUGUAUAUAUGUUUAAUAUCUGUCUUUUGAAAUGCAGAAAUAGUUUAAAUGUUUCUUUGUCUAUUUUUCUUUUUUUUUUUUUAAUGCUACCCAGGGAAAUAUUUUCAUAUCAUUUUUAAGUGGCCUGCCUCAAUGUAUAUUUAUUUCUUUUAAAGCAAAAAGGUUCUGGAAACUGUUUUUCUGUAGCUUUAAAUGAGUAGAUGAGCAAAAUCUAUAUGGGAUGUAAUUUUUUUGUUCAGUCUCUUUAAAAAUACUUUGUUUUGGUACAUUUGGUUGUGCUUGUGGGGAAAAUAAAAACGCAGAGAUCCUUAUAUAUUUAUGUUAAAGUAAUAUUUUAUUAUCUACAUAAAACAGAAAUGCACAAUACCUUCAUAGUUUGUUCUAAUUAUUGAAAUAUCUUUAUUUUAUUUUUAAAGAUAGUGCCAAGUUUUAAGGGGGGGGAAACCCUAGACCUUAUACUGACUGAGUUGAGUUGUGUGUAAAAUACUUCCCUUCCUUUAUACUUCAUAAAGUUUUGGAAUAAAUUUUAUGCGUAUA